UAUAUUUAGACUUUUUCUAAGUAUAAGUCAAGUAUACUUAAAUGUCAUUUUAAGUGUAUUUCUGAGAAGUGCAUAAAAUGUAGACUGAAAGUAUACUUGCUUUUAUUUUUAGUUUAAAAGAAGUAUAUUAAUAGCACACUUGAAUAAACCUCUUUUUCGUAAGGGCACACACACUCACACAG